rnacentral:rRNA from 1 species
UACGUAGGGUGCAAGCGUUAAUCGGAAUUACUGGGCGUAAAGCGUGCGCAGGCGGUUUUGUAAGUCUGUCGUGAAAGCCCCGGGCUCAACCUGGGAAUUGCGAUGGAGACUGCAAGGCUUGAAUCUGGCAGAGGGGGGUAGAAUUCCACGUGUAGCAGUGAAAUGCGUAGAGAUCCGGAAGAACACCGGUGGCGAAGGCGGUCUGCUGGGGUGAUGCUGACACUGAUGCGCGACAGCGUGGGGAGCAAACAGG